rnacentral:rRNA from 1 species
CGCGUAGGUGGUAGUGCAAGUCUGGGGUGGAAUCCCAGGGCUUAACCCUGGAACUGCCUUGGAAACUGUAUUACUUGAGUCAGUGAGGGGAGGGUAGAAUUCCUGGUGUAGCGGUGAAAUGCGUAGAUAUCAGGAGGAAGGCCUGUGGCGAAGGCGGCCCUCUGGCGCUGAACUGACACUGAGGCGCGAAAGCGUGGGGAGCAAACAGGAUUAGAUACCCUGGUAGUCCACGCCCUAAACGGUGGAUACUAGGUGUAGGGCUCGUAAGGGUUCUGUGCCGAAGCGAAAGCAUUAAGUACCCCGCCUGGGGAGUACGGCCGCAAGGUUGAA